rnacentral:misc_RNA from 1 species
GAUGAAAACGUAGCGAAAUGCGAUAAGUAAUGUGAAUUGCAAAUUCAGUGAAUCAUCGAGUCUUUGAACGCACAUUGCGCCCCCUGGUAUUCCGGGGGGCAUGCCUGUCCGAGCGUCAUUGCUGCCCUCAAGCACGGCUUGUGUGUUGGGCCCCGUCCUCCGAUCCCGGGGGACGGGCCCGAAAGGCAGCGGCGGCACCGCGUCCGGUCCUCGAGCGUAUGGGGCUUUGUCACCCGCUCUGUAGGCCCGGCCGGCGCUUGCCGAUCAACCCAAAUUUUUAUCCAGGUUGACCUCGGAUCAGGUAGGGAUACCCGCUGAACUUAAGCAUAUCAAUAAGCGGAGGA